AUUUGUUUUCCCGGAGUGGGAUGUAGGAGGAUAGAGCUCUCCAAAAAAUACUUUCGGAGGAAAUGGAAGCUUUGCAGCUCUGAUGAAGAAUGUUCGAAAUGGGCUGGAGAAUUUCCCGGGUUCGCCCAUCAGCUCUGCUUUAGACAGCUCUGCUUUAGACAGACAUUUGUGUACAGAUUUGCUGACUAGCUAUUGCACUUGCAACUUCUGCAAUUGGAACUUUUGCAGUUUUUUUUCAUGAAGAACAAGACAGCUCUGCUUCAGAUAGACAAUUGUGUACAGAUUUGCUGACUAGCUAUUGCACUUGCAACUUCUGCAAUUGGAACUUUUGCCAUUUUUUUUCAUUGAGAACAAGACUCUCCUGUACCAAUUGAUUAUUUGGAUGUUCAGGACCUACGUUCAUUAUGUACUAUUCACACUCAUUGUAUUUAUGCAGUUAAAGUUUAAGUGAUUUGUAUAUAAAAAACCCUUUGAGGUCUUUUUUUUGGUAUAUACUCAAAAAAAUAAUAAUGGAUAUUCUCACAACA